UUAAGCCAUGCGAGUCGAACGAGUUUAGGCUCGUGGCGUACGGCUCAGUAACACGUGGAUAACCUACCCUUAGGACUGGGAUAACCCUGGGAAACUGGGGAUAAUACUAGAUAGGCAAUUUUUCCUGGAAUGGUUUUUUGUUUAAAUGUUUUUUCGCCUAAGGAUGGGUCUGCGGCCGAUUAGGUAGUUGGUUAGGUAACGGCUUACCAAGCCAUUGAUCGGUACGGGUAGUGAGAGCAAGAGCCCGGAGAUGGAGCCUGAGACAAGGUUCCAGGCCCUACGGGGUGCAGCAGGCGCGAAACCUCCGCAAUGUGAGAAAUCGCGACGGGGGGAUCCCAAGUGCCAUUCUUAACGGGAUGGCUUUUCAUUAGUGUGAAGAGCUUUUGGAAUAAGGGCUGGGCAAGACCGGUGCCAGCCGCCGCGGUAA
rnacentral:rRNA from 1 species